rnacentral:rRNA from 1 species
AUACGGAGGGUGCAAGCGUUAAUCGGAAUUACUGGGCGUAAAGCGCACGCAGGCGGUUUGUUAAGUCAGAUGUGAAAUCCCCGGGCUCAACCUGGGAACUGCAUCUGAUACUGGCAAGCUUGAGUCUCGUAGAGGGGGGUAGAAUUCCAGGUGUAGCGGUGGAAUGCGUAGAGAACUGGAGGAAUACCGGUGGCGAAGGCGGCCCCCUGGACGAAUACUGACGCUCAGGUGCGAAAGCGUGGGGAGCAAACAGGAUUAGAUACCCUGGUAGUCCACGCCGUAAACGAUGUCGACUUGGAGGUUGUGCCCUUGAGGCGUGGCUUCCGGAGCUAACGCGUUAAGUCGACCGCCUGGGGAGUACGGCCGCAAGGUUAAAACUCAAAUGAAUUGACGGGG